rnacentral:rRNA from 1 species
GACGAACGCUGGCGGCGUGCCUAAUACAUGCAAGUAGGACGCAGUUGCGAACGGGUGAGUAACGCGUAGGUAACUACCUAUUAGAGGGGGAUAACUAUUGGAAACGAUAGCUAAUACCGCAUACUAGUAGAUGGACCUUCGUUGUAUUAGCUAGUAGGUAGGGUAAUGGCCUACCUAGGCAACGAUACAUAGCCGAGCUGGGAGGGGGAUGGGCCAGACGGGGACGGAGAAACGGGACAGACUCCUAAGGGAGGAAGCAGGAGGGAAACGUAGGCAAUGGGGGGAAGCGUGAACGGGCAAGGGCGCGUGAGGGAAGAAGGUUGUCGGAUAGGAAAGCUCGGUUGGUAAGGAAGCGGUACUUAACCAGAAAGGGAGGGCUAACGACGGGCCAGCAGCCGCGGUAAUGG